UACGUAGGGGGCAAGCGUUGUCCGGAAUUAUUGGGCGUAAAGAGCGUGUAGGCGGUCCGGUAAGUCAGCUGUGAAAGUCAAGGGCUCAACCCUUGAAUGCCGGUUGAUACUGUCGGGCUAGAGUCCGGAAGAGGCGAGUGGAAUUCCCGGUGUAGCGGUGAAAUGCGCAGAUAUCGGGAGGAACACCAAUGGCGAAGGCAGCUCGCUGGGACGGUACUGACGCUGAGACGCGAAAGCGUGGGGAGCAAACAGGG
rnacentral:rRNA from 1 species